rnacentral:rRNA from 1 species
AACGAACGCUGGCGGCAGGCUUAACACAUGCAAGUCGAACGCAUCGCAAGAUGAGUGGCAGACGGGUGGGUAACGCGUGGGAACAUACCCUUUUCUACGGAAUAGCUCUGGGAAACUGGAAUUAAUACCGUAUACGCCCUACGGGGGAAAGAUUUAUCGGGGAAGGAUUGGCCCGCGUUGGAUUAGCUAGUUGGUGGGGUAAAGGCCUACCAAGGCGACGAUCCAUAGCUGGUCUGAGAAGAUGAUCAGCCACAUUGGGACUGAGACACGGCCCAAACUCCUACGGGAGGCAGCAGUGGGGAAUAUUGGACAAUGGGCGCAAGCCUGAUCCAGCCAUGCCGCGUGAGUGAUGAAGGCCUUAGGGUUGUAAAGCUCUUUCACCGAUGAAGAUAAUGACGGUAGUCGGAGAAGAAGCCCCGGCUAACUUCGUGCCAGCCGCCGCUGUAA